ACCUGGGCCGCCAUUUCGCGAUCAGAAAGGCCACCGCAAAUCUGGAUGAUACGGUCAGACAGCGUCGACUUACCGUGGUCGAUGUGAGCGAUGAUCGAAAAGUUACGUAUAUUCUUCAUAUUUAGAGUUAAUUAUGCCUUACGAGUCUCAUGAGGCCGCUGUUCUGUGCCUGACGUUUUUUAAUCCGAAAACGCCGCAUUCUACACUACAUCCGCGAAACCAGGAAAUGCUGUUAGAUCCAGCAUAACGGCAGAAUUGUGGCGUUGUAUCAGGAAGCGUAAAUAAAGAUGAGGGACAGUGAAAUCACUGCCCCAUUUCAGAGGAAGGCGUAUCGACGCGCAGCAGAUCCGGCGGUAAACCAACGCUUAAAAUCACCGGCUGCCACGACUGGCGAGCAGCCAGCUGCGGCGACAGCCCACGCGCCACCAGGAACCCGCCGACGCCGCCCAACAGCGCGCCGCACAACGAAGCGAUAUCGCUGGCAAACAACACCUGAAAAAUAGAUGCCAUCACAAACAGCCCGAACAGCGGCGCCAUGUAGACCAGCAGCGCCGAACCCAGCAGGCUGCUUUCAGCAAUGCCCAGCUCCACUUUUUGCCCGGCCGUCAGCGGCUGCUCACAGGGGACGCUAAUGGUAUGGCUGGUUUGCGGCCCCAGUUUAUUGAGCACCCGGCUACCGCACCCGGCGCGCGAGGCGCAGCUGCUGCAAGAGGCUUUAACAUCGCAGUGAACCUGCGCCACGCCGUUGUGCCAGGAGACAACAGUCGCCCACUCUUUGAUCAUUGCGCGGCCCUGAACUUAAUACUGUCGGAGAUACGU
rfam:Enterobacter aerogenes KCTC 2190, complete genome.